UGGGUUGUGGCUCAGUGGUAGAUCGCUCGCCCUAGCACGUGCGAGGUGCUGGGUUCAAGCCUCAGCACCACAU
rnacentral:tRNA from 1 species